rnacentral:tRNA from 1 species
GCGGGCAUAGAUUAAUGGUAAAUUAUCUGCCUUCCAAGCAGAGGAUAAGGGUUCGAUUCCCUUUGCCCGUA